rnacentral:rRNA from 1 species
AAUCCUACGGGAGGCAGCAGUGGGGGAUAUUGCACAAUGGAGGGAACCCUGAUGCAGCGACGCCGCGUGAGCGAUGAAGUAUUUCGGUAUGUAAAGCUCUAUCAGCAGGGAAGAAAAUGACGGUACCUGACUAAGAAGCCCCGGCUAACUACGUGCCAGCAGCCGCGGUAAUACGUAGGGGGCAAGCGUUAUCCGGAUUUACUGGGUGUAAAGGGAGCGUAGACGGAGGAGCAAGUCUGAUGUGAAAAUCCGGGGCCCAACCCCGGAACUGCAUUGGAAACUGUUUAUC